GAUCCUGGCUCAGGAUGAACGCUAGCUACAGGCUUAACACAUGCAAGUCGAGGGGCAGCAUGAACUUAGCUUGCUAAGUUUGAUGGCGACCGGCGCACGGGUGAGUAACACGUAUCCAACCUGCCGAUGACUCGGGGAUAGCCUUUCGAAAGAAAGAUUAAUACCCGAUGGCAUAGUUCUUCCGCAUGGUAGAACUAUUAAAGAAUUUCGGUCAUCGAUGGGGAUGUCUCUAGUUGG
rnacentral:rRNA from 1 species